rnacentral:rRNA from 1 species
UACGUGAGGGGGCAAGCGUUGUCCGGAAUCAUUGGGCGUAAAGCGCGUGUAGGCGGCCUGGUAAGUCCGUUCUGAAAGCCCGGGGCUCAACCCCGGGAGGCGGAUGGAUACUGUCAGGCUCGAGUCCGGAAGAGGCAAGUGGAAUUCCCGGUGUAGCGGUGAAAUGCGCAGAGUAUCGGGAAGGAACACCAAUGGCGAAGGCAGGCUU